GAAAAUUUUAACAGGAAUCUUCAACCAUAUCAUGUUCCAUAUAUAAUAUUGAGAACAAGUCAAUACAGACUCGUUGAUAUUCUUGAACAAACAUAUCUCAACAAAACUUCCAAAGAAUCAACAGCUUAAAGCUAACAUAGAUUCAAAUAUGUAAAUGUAAACAUAUCUUGGUGAAUUGCAGAUAUAAAAUGUGGUUAAAUCCAGUAGUUGCUAUUAAAUUAUAGUUUCUAACUUGCACAACUAUAUAUAUAUUCAGAACCAAUAAAAAUAAUCAGUUUGAAAUUGUUGCAGAAUCACUCUUAGGCAUCUUCAAUGUUGCUUCAAGCCGACAGUCUUCCUUUCCUCUGGGUCCUCUAAACAACUUUCUUUCAAUUAUGGCAUUGGGUGCAAUACCCAAUUACCCUUGCAUGAACGUCACGACCUUUGGAAUGUUUAAAGGAGACGUUACCACAAAGAUGAUUUGAUAGGAAAAACCCCGAUCACUCUCCUUGAGAACCAAAGUUUGGAAAAAGACUUCCACUUCUUCAUGGUGGGGUUCCACAUUCCAAAGACACGAAAAGCAGGAGAUAUGGAUUUAGAUGAUAA
rnacentral:misc_RNA from 1 species